rnacentral:tRNA from 1 species
UUAAUUGAAACCAAAGAGAGGUAUAUCACUGUUAAUGAUAUUAAUGAAAUAUAUUUCCAAUUAAA